CGUUUUGCACGCGCUGCGGCUGCACCGACCGGAAGUUUUUAGGGUUUUCUAUCCGUUCUCGAGGAGCCAGGAGAAGCAGGCGAUGGGCACGCCGGAGAUAUCACGGGAGCCCUGCCCUGACCGUAUUUUGGAUGACGUCGGCAGCGCGUUCGGCAUGGGCGCGGUUGGUGGCUCCGCCUUCCACUUCAUCAAGGGUCUCUACAACUCCCCCAACGGGGAGCGCCUUGUCGGAGGUGCCCAGGCCGUCCGCAUGAACGCUCCACGCGUCGGAGGUAGCUUCGCCGUCUGGGGCGGCCUUUUCUCCACCUUCGAUUGUUCCAUGGUCUAUCUCCGCCAGAAGGAGGACCCAUGGAACUCCAUCCUUGCCGGCGCCGCCACCGGCGGAUUCCUCCAGAUGCGCCAGGGCCCAGGCCCUGCUGCUCGGUCUGCCCUCUUUGGUGGCGUCCUCCUCGCCCUCAUUGAAGGUGCCGGCAUCAUGCUCAACCGCGUCCUCAGUUCCCCCCAGUAUCUGCCUCCCUUGGAGGACCCCAAUGUCUCCGCUCUCCCUCCCAACAUUGCUGCCGCUGCCCCUACCUCGGGGUUCCACCACAUGGCCUAUCAACACGAUUCCCCUGGCAGCACUUCUUCCUCCUCUUCAACAACGUCUUCUUCAUCCUGGUUUGGAGGAUUUUUUGGUGGUGGUAAAAAGCAUGAAGAUAUUGAAGCUAAAAGGGGAGGCAGUAAGACAGAGGUGUUGGAGAGCUUUGACACACCAAGCACGCCAGCUCCAAAGUUUGAGUACAACUAACUUAGCAACCGUUCAAUUUUCCAAUAAAGAAGUUAAUUUGAAGGGAUCAUGAAUCCUUUCUCUUUUCCACCCACUUAUGUGUGGCUAUGCAUUUGCCCUAGCAGAGUGGCCCUUUGUAUGGGUGAGGUCAUAUAUCCAGCGAAUCAUUUUGCAUCCGUUGGGAAUUGACCUCAAGAUCUAUUGGAGCAAUCGCUCAUUCAAGUAUCAACUGCGCUAACCUGUGGGGGCUCUUUGAAAGUCAUUCAUGCCACGAUGAUGAAUGAAAUCUGAUCGUAGAAAGGCUGCAGCGCUACAUCCUGGCAACUUCCAUCCAUGUAUUCGUAUCGCAUAAAACCAGCACAACUUUUUUAUCAGCUACACUUGAUAAAUAUUUGUAGUACUGGCGACGUCAGUUGGAUUGGAUUAGUUUUAUACGGCAUUUUUUAUGUUUUCAUUGGAGAAACUGUUGCUAAGUCUAUUUGUACCUAAAUCCUUCCAUGGCUCAGUUUAUGUUAUGAUAUUUUUAUCCUUUCUCUGUAGAAGUCAGGUGGGGAAAAAUCAUUUUUCGCCCCCUUUUUGAACUUGGGGAAGUUAGUAACCUCGAUGAGAUAUUCAUUUAUUUGUAAUGUUAAACCUUGACAUCUUUA